rnacentral:lncRNA from 1 species
UUUUUAAUAAUAUAGCAUAGUCAUAGGUUCUAGGGGUUAGAGCAUGAAUAUCUUUGGGGGGCCAUUACUCUACCUACCAUAUCAGGGUUCACUGUAAUCUUUUCAACCCCAAUGGUAAUAUGUUGGGUGAAAAGUAGGAGGUGCAAUAGCUACCUUAUGUAACCAUAGUGGUGAGGUUCAAGUGAGAUAAGUAAAUAAUAAAGUGAGGUUUAUAUAAAAUUCAUCAUCAUCAUCAAAAAAAAAAAAAAAGGGCAUUAGUCUGAGAAAGUGGUCCAUAGGUUUUACCAGAUUUCUAACAAAGGUUAUGGCACAAAAAAGUUAUGUGUUUUUCUGUGGUCUAAAACAAUGUUUGCCAAUAUAGUGAGAGUUUGAUUAAAAAUAUUUUUGAGUGAAUGAGUCAGAUAAAGGGAGGCAGAGGAGGAAACAGUGUCCUAAGCAGAGGAAAUAGCAUUCAAAGGCUGGGGGCUCUGUCCUCUGUUCUAGAAACAGAAAAACUGUCUGGUGUGGUUUGAGCUUCGAGAGCCGGGGGGAGGGGGGUGGUUUAGGCUGGCACUAACAAGGGAGGCUGGUUGAACUUCCUCUUGGGGCAGUGGGAAGCUGAUAGGAGGUCCUAGGCAGAUCAGGAAAUCAUGAUAUUUGGGUUUUGAAAACUCCCUAUGGCUGCCAAGAGGAAAGGAAAGGAAAGCAAGAGUAGAUGCCCAUGAAGAGGUGGUUUGAAAUAGGCUGGGGGUGGAGGUCGAGGCAAGUGGAUGGACGUGAGAGCAGUUUCAGAGAUGACACAGACACCCCUUGAGCGCUGAUUAGAAGCAGGGGGUGAAGGAAAACAGGAAGUACAGAGUGACUGUGGCUUUCCUGCCUGAGUGCCUGAGUGACAGCAGGUGGCUUUCUGAGAGGGCAACGCGGUAGGAAGGAGGAGCCAGGUGGGGGCAGGUCCCAGGCACCUGAAACUGCAGGUAAGAGUGUUCUUAGUUCAGCCUGGCUUUGCUAAAAGUGCCUUGGGACCCGAAUGAUGAUUUGAGAUCCCAGCUUUCAUCUCAGUUCUGUCACUUACUUGUUACCUCAGGCGCAUUUCUCAACCUCUUUGUUUUCCCAGCCGAGCAAUGGAGCUGCUGGUACUCGGGACACCUCACAUGCGGGAGUGAUGCUCCUGCCACUGAACUCAGGUCGUUGUGGAAACAACUGAGCCUGCAACUUUCCACGUUACUGAUUUUUCUCUAAGCCCUGAAUAAAAGCUAGGGUGUCAUAUUACCAUCACAAAGAAAUAAUAUUAUUAUCAAUAAAAGCUAAUCCUUAUUGAUCACUCAUCAUAUCUCAUGUGCCCUGCUGACUAUUUUAUGUACAUUAUUCCUUUCAAUUCUCCAUGAUAACACUUGGAGGUGGAUAUUAUUGUUAUGUCCAAUUUACAAAGACGGAAACUGAGGCUAAGGUUUUAAGUUACUUCCCCGAAGUCACAUGGUUAUAGGUGGUAGAGCAGAAAGUAGAACUCAUCCACUCUGACUCUAGAAUCUUUACUCCUUCUUUUUAGGGCCACACCCAUGGCAUAUGGAAGCUCCCAGGCUAGGAGCUGAACUGGAGUCGCAGCUGCCUGCUUAUGCCACAGCCAUAGCAAUGCUGGAUCCAAGCUGAGUCUGCAACCUAUACCUCAUGGCAAUGUUGGAUCCUUAACCCACUCAUUGAUGCCAGGGAUUGAACUCACAUCUUCAUGGAUACUAGUGGGGUUCAUCACUGCUGAGUCACAAUGGGAACUCCCAAGAAUCUGUAUUCUUAAUCCCUGCAUAUUCCUGCCCUCUUGGAUUAAUCACUGUUUUGGUCCAGGUGUUGGUAGGAGUUACCCUGACCCCUAGAGUCUAGAUGGAACUGGAUCAUCUCUCUACUCCAUAUCCUGUCUUGGGACCCUCCCUGAGAUGUCAUGAGUCCAGCCGAGCAUGCAUUGUCAUGGCAGUAUGGCUCAGAGCUCCUGUCCUGCGGAAUUCUUUGCAUCUCUGGACCUUCCCGCAUGUGUGCUCUUCCAAGUCUUGCUCUCUCAGCCCAGCUGUGGGAGCCGGACACACUCCUUGAUUUCUACCAAAGUGCCAAUGGUUCCUUGUGGUGCAGCAGGUUAAGGAUCUGGUGGUGUCACUGCAGUGGCUCGGGUUGCUGCUGUGGUGCUGAUUUGAUCCCUGGCCCAGGAAUUUCCACAUGCCACUGAUGUGGCCAAAAACACACACACAAAAAAAUGGAGGAUAUUAAUUUUGCCAUAGUGUUAGCUAAGAUUUACGCUAAAUGCUGACACAGUGAGAUCCUCUUCCUGCCACAUCCCCCCUCUCCUGACUCCCCACCACAAAAAUGAUUUGGUUUUAUCUCUCUCUUCCAGUCCAGGCUAAGUGGUUGCUCUGCUUCCUACUGUGGUUGCAAGUUCUUCCAAUCACCGUUACUUCUGUCUUGUUGCUUUGCCAUCUCCUGGGAGUGACUGUGCCCUCAUCCAUAUCGUCGAAGCCAGGGCAAACCACAUGGACAAUCAGCCCCUUGGAAGGGGAAAGAGGAGGGCCGACUAUUAAGCAAGUAGGUGCACACAUCACUUCCAUUCUCAUCUCAUUGGCAGGAUUGUAGUCAUGUGAUCAUACUGGCGCUUGGUGGAGCCUGGGAAGUGUAGUCUCCAACAGGGCAGUCAUGUGCCCAGCUGGAACUCUGUUACUGCGCAAGAAAGGGAGAACAGGUUUUGGGAGGUAACUGGAGGUCUCUGCUUCAACCAACCAGCCUCUUGCCCUUUACUUAAUCUCAUGCUGUCCUUUCUUUCCACUCUUCUUUAAUUUCAGCUCUCUCCCUCUGUUCUUAUUUUUUUCUAAAGCAGAACAGUUUAGGCAUCUCUCAUUCCCCUCCACCACCAUCCCAUGUUCUCCCAUGUCUCAGGGUCUCAUCUUCCAUCCCAUGUGGCAUAUAAAGCUGUCCUAUCUGGCACUGUCUCAGCUGUGCAGGUCACAGGUGUGGCUCAGAUCCAAUCCCUGGCCUGGGAACUUCCAUA